GCUGCAACUGGAUGGCGGCGACCUCCUCGCUGGUGACGAAGUUCUCGCCGUAGUAGGCGCCCUCGUUCCAGGUGGGGUAGCGGCC
rnacentral:tRNA from 1 species